rnacentral:rRNA from 1 species
AGGACGAACGCUGGCGGCGUGCUUAACACAUGCAAGUCGAGCGGAAAGGCUCCUUCGGGGGUACUCGAGCGGCGAACGGGUGAGUAACACGUGAGUAAUCUGCCCUGCGCUCUGGGAUAGCCACCGGAAACGGUGAUUAAUACCGGAUAUGACAUGUCCCUGCAUGGGGGUGUGUGGUAAAGUUUUUUCGGCGCAGGAUGUGCUCGCGGCCUACCAGCUUGUUGGUGAGGUAAUGGCUCACCAAGGCUUUGACGGGUAACCGGCUGAGAGGGUGACCGGUCACACUGGGACUGAGACACCGGCCCAGACCUCCGUACGGGAGGACAGCGAGGUGGGGAAUAGUUGGACAAGUGGGCGGAAGCUGAUCCAGCAACGCCGCGUGGAGGAG